rnacentral:rRNA from 1 species
GACGAAGGGGGCUAGCGUUGUUCGGAAUUACUGGGCGUAAAGCGCGUGUAGGCGGUUAUCCAAGUCGGGUGUGAAAGCCUUGAGCUCAACUCAAGAAAUGCAUUCGGUACUGGGUGACUAGAGGACCGGAGAGGAUAGUGGAAUUCCCAGUGUAGUGGUGAAAUACGUAGAGAUUGGGAAGAACACCAGUGGCGAAGGCGGCUAUCUGGACGGUUUCUGACGCUAAGACGCGAAAGCGUGGGGAGCAAACAGG